rnacentral:rRNA from 1 species
CGGGGUAGGGUAACGCGUGAGGAACCUGCCUCAAAGAGGGGGACAACAGUUGGAAACGACUGCUAAUACCGCAUAAGCCCACAGCUCGGCAUCGAGCAGAGGGAAAAGGAGUGAUCCGCUUUGAGAUGGCCUCGCGUCCGAUUAGCUAGUUGGUGAGGUAAUGGCCCACCAAGGCGACGAUCGGUAGCCGGACUGAGAGGUUGAACGGCCACAUUGGGACUGAGACACGGCCCAG